rnacentral:rRNA from 1 species
UGAGGAAUAUUGGUCAAUGGGCGCAAGCCUGAACCAGCCAUCCCGCGUGCAGGAAGACGGCCCUAUGGGUUGUAAACUGCUUUUCCAGGGGGAGAAACUUGCGCACGUGUUGCGCAAUUGACGGUACCCUGGGAAUAAGCAUCGGCUAACUCCGUGCCAGCAGCCGCGGUAAUACGGAGGAUGCGAGCGUUAUCCGGAUUCAUUGGGUUUAAAGGGUGCGUAGGCGGACUAUUAAGUCAGUGGUGAAAUCCUGCAGCUUAACUGCAGAACUGCUAUUGAUACUGAUAGCCAUGAGUAUGGUUAAGGUAGGCGGAAUGUGUAAUGUAGCGGUGAAAUGCUUAGAUAUUACACAGAACACCAAUUGCAGAGGCAGCUUACUGAGCCGACACUGACGCUGAGGCACGAAAGCGUGGGGAUCGAACAG